rnacentral:rRNA from 1 species
UACGAAGGGGGCUAGCGUUGCUCGGAAUCACUGGGCGUAAAGGGUGCGUAGGCGGGCCUUUAAGUCAGGGGUGAAAUCCUGGAGCUCAACUCCAGAACUGCCUUUGAUACUGAGGAGCUUGAGUUCGGGAGAGGUGAGUGGAACUGCGAGUGUAGAGGUGAAAUUCGUAGAUAUUCGCAAGAACACCAGUGGCGAAGGCGGCUCACUGGCCCGAUACUGACGCUGAGGCACGAAAGCGUGGGGAGCAAACAGG